rnacentral:rRNA from 1 species
CCUACGGGGGGCAGCAGUGGGGAAUAUUGCACAAUGGGCGGAAGCCUGAUGCAGCAACGCCGCGUGAAGGAAGACGGUUUUCGGAUUAUAAACUUCUAUCAAUAGGGAAGAAAGAAAUGACGGCACCUAAAUAAGAAGCCCCGGCUAACUACGUGCCAGCAGCCGCGGUAAUACGUAGGGGGCAAGCGUUAUCCGGAAUUACUGGGUGUAAAGGGAGAGUAGGCGGCAAGGUAAGCGAUAUGUGAAAGCCUUAAGCUUAACUUAAGGAUUGCAUAACGAACUAUCUAGCUAGAGUACAGGAGAGG